UUAAGCCAGUUUGCUAAACCGCAGAGCGAGUACAGACAUCAGAUUAUAUAUUUAACUACAUUAUACACAGGCUUUAAUCCAUCAAUAACACAAACAGAUAUAUAUUCAUCGAAUAUGGACAAAAUAAAAGAUCGAAUUGAGACGGAAAAGAACAAAAUUUUACAAAUUAAAAGAAGUUGAAAAUGAUUAUUGGGGACUUUGAGGACAGGCCUUUAACAUCAGCACCAUUCACCGUCUCAUUGCCCACAACCUGCAAAGCUCAAUCUCAGGAUCUCUUUUAAGUAGAAUCCUGGCCUACAUCUCAUCAAGUUUCAGCAGAUCUCACAUAAGCAUUUUAAUGGGUGGUACAGAAGGAGGGUCAAGUGGACCUGAUCGAUGGAGCCUCUUUGGGGUUCGUCCAGUUGUGCAAAAAUCCCCCACAGACCCAGGCUCAGAUUCCAACAGCUUUGGUGGUUUCAGUUUGACAUCAUAUUUCGGGCUGCAGAAGUCCACUACACUGGAUGGCAUCAAGACCCAAGUUAACGUUGCUGCUGAAAACUCGGCCAACUUCCAGUCCAACAAGCUGGUGGUAAAUGGUGUGGAGGGGAAAAAGGCAGCUCAGCACAAACUUAAACAUCGAGACAUUAACAUUCUCACCCCGUCUGGCUUCUGACAUCUGGUCCACAUUCUCCUUCAGUCAGGUCACACAUGCACACAUACAUAGAACAGAGCCCAGCUAUAUUCACAACCAUUAAAAAAAAAAAGCGCGUUUGUUGGUUUGUUCAAAUACAAGCUGGUAAAAUAUGA